rnacentral:lncRNA from 1 species
UUUUUUUUUUUUUUUUUUUUUUAAGAUUUCAUCUAUUUACUCAUGAGAGACACCGAGCAAAAGGCAGAGACACAGGAAGAGGGAGAAGCAGACUCCCUAUGGGGAGCCUGAUGUGGGACUCGAUCCCCAGAUCCCAGGAACACUACCUGAACCAAAGGAAGAUGCUCAACCACUGAGCAACCUAGGCAUCCCUAAAAGAGUUGUUAAGGACCUUUAAAAUCUCAACAAGAAAAAUUAAAAAAUCACUGACUAUUUUUACUCAUCAAAUUCAUUUGACAGAGGAAGGAACAAGUAUCCAGUGAGAAUAAACAACUUGUCUGGUGUCAAUAUUUGACUAUUUAUUAUGUAUUAUAGUUUGGGGCACUCUUUCCUGUCUUGUUAAUUAAAUUAUAUAUUUUUAAAAAUCUAUCCUUUGCAAAUCACUAAAUCCCCAGAGUGUCUAGCACAGACACUUACCUUUUGUGGUAAGUAUUCAUUAGCAACUGAUUUUAUGUUAUGUCUUAAUUCAUAUCUUCAACAUAGUUUUACAACAUUUUUAUGUAGUGAACUUCAUAACAAGGACUAUGUUCUCUCCUGAAUUUAUGUACAAUUAGUUUUGAGAAUAGAACUAUAGAUUUUUUUAAACUUCUAAUAUACUUCUAUAUGUAUGUACAACCUGUGUAGAAGUACAUUCCAUUCACAAUUCAUACACCAGAUGCUACAUGUACUGAGUUACAGCAGUAAACAAAACAAAACAAAACUGUUUACAGCAGUAAGCAAAACAAAAAUUGUUCCUAAAGGUGCUCACAUUCUGUGGAAGGAGUCACACACAUACAAAUAUUAAAGAGAAAGCGUGUCAGAUAUUGAUAAAUAUUGGAGAGGGCAAUUACUUUGGGGUCAUAGGUAUUUAAAAGUUUUAAAAGGUUAGUUGGAAAAGCCACACUAGAUGGUGGCAUUUGAGUAAAUUUCUGGAAGAGAUGAGGGAGCCUGCCACGCAGAUAUAUAAGGGAAGACCAUUCUAAAAAAAAAAAAAAAAAAAAAAGGGAAGACCAUUCUUUGCAGAAGGAAGAAGAGAAGCUCUAAGUUGGGAGACUAUCUGGUUUGGCAUGGGCACAAUGUGCGUUAUUGUUCUAACAGAGAGAACCGGUAAAGUCACUGAGGUGUGGGAAAAAGAAUGAGAGGUAGAAAUUAAGGAAGGAAGAAUGAGGAAGGAAAGUUUCUACUUAAAUAGGUCCCCAUAGGCUACCAGAAGGAUUGUGGCUUUAUCCUCAGUGAGGAGUGCAGCAGAAGGUUUUGAGAUGAGAAUUGUUAUGAUUUGACUUCAGUUUCAAAGGAUCAGUCUACGCUGUGAGCAAUAUCCAGUGUAGAUGGUACAAAGGCAGAAGCAGAAAGAUUAGGUAAAAGGCACUUCCCAUAAUCAAUGCGAUCUAAACAAUGGCUUAGACAAGAGUGGUAGUAGCAGAGAAUGUAGAGAGGUUAAAUUCUAGAUUUUGAUUGUAUACCUCACAGGAUUCACUGAUGGAUUGGAUAUGAGUGAAUAAAAGAGAGAAAUGAAUCAAAGAUGACUCCUCUCUGGCCUCAGAAACUUUAAGGAUGUCAUUGCUAUAUACUGAAUUGGAGAACCCUGUACAACACAUGUUAAAGCUUAAGCAGAGGCUAUACUCAACUUAAGAUCAUAUGUCUCAGGACACCUGGGUGGCUCAGCGUUGGAGUGUCUACCUUAGGCUCAGGGCAUGAUCAUGGGGUCCUGGGAUCAAGUCCCACAUUGGGAUCCCUGCAUGGAGCCUGCUUCUCCCUCUGCCUGUGUCUCUGCCUCUCUGUGUGUCUCUCAUGAAUAAACAAAAUCUUUUUUUAAGAAGAUUAUAUGCUUCUAUUACAUGACUGAAGAUAUUGACUGAGGCUCAUGUCCAACAGUACAAUUUAAAACAUGGCAUUUUGGAUGCAUAAAUCCAAAUGCACCAUCAUCCAUAUAUAGUUGCUGUUAGCCUUAACCAAGACUGAAGGGUUUUUUUAUACAAGCAAAGAAAUAAUGUCUUCAUAAUAUUACAAAAAUGUAAAUAGUUUUCUCGUUCAUGAAUUUCCUAAUUGUCCUCCUUGUAUGAGAAUGCUUCUCUACUUUCUGUCUUUAGCUGAGGAAACUGUAAAAUCCCAUUUAUUAAAGUGUAGUAGGGCCAAUACAACCAAAGGGACAACUCACGGGAGUAGAAGAUGUUAUAAUCAAAAGCACUUCCCCGUUUUCUCAAAACAAAUAUUAUAGACUAUUAAAUGAGCGUAAAUAGAUAGGCUAGGAAAGGAAUAAGCAAGGUUUUACCUCCUUCCUUUGUGAUGGCCUAUAACUUAACCCAAUCUCUCUGUGGAUCUCUCCAACAGAUACUUGCACAACCAAGGGCCUCAUUCUCAAAUCUAUAAACUCCUUAGAAUGUCUGAAAUCUCUAACCCUGCAAUACAGGAUCCCUAAGGUAAGGAAUACUACAAAAUGUAUCACUCAUCAUAAUUAUGGUAAAUAAACAUAGUUGCAAUUAUAAAAUAAUUAUUUAGAUAUAAAUAUUCCAUUGAUCUGUGAAGAUAUUAAGUAUAAUCUUCUGUUUUUAGCAUAAUAUUCUGAAUAAGGUUCUGCCAUUGAAGUUAUCAAUAUCCUGAGGAUAUCGUAAUUCCUGAGUGUUACCUAUUGCAUGAGAAGUCAAAUAAAUACUUAACAUACUAACCAUCAAAUUAUUAAUGGAAUUCAUUUCUGUAGAAUAAUUAGUACAUGAGAAAUUUUAGCAAAUAAAAAAAUUAGAUUUCCUUGGUUGUACAAAUGACUUAUGGUUUAAAUCUGAAGUGUUGGGAUUUUUUAAAACAAGGAUUCUUUUUGGUGAGGAUUUAUGAGAUGUUUUAUUUUCUCUUUGAAAGGUAUUGAUUCUAAAAGCUGUCUAAGUAAACAGCACUGAUCUAUCUAUUCUUGAAUCAUUGAGAGUAAGUCACCUGUGGCCAGCAAAUGAUUUUCAUUUCUUAGAGGUAAAAUUUAUUGAAAAGAAAGCAAAAGCAAGUGAAAGCUUAAUUUAUAAUGCCGACAAAAUUAUUGGAAUUCACCAUUUAAGAGUUUAUGCUGUGCAGAAUAUGAGAAAGCACUAACUUCUAAACUGAAACAAAUAGAUUGGUUCUGUUUUAAUCAGACAAAAAUUCUGUAAAAUGAGCCAUAAACAAAACAAUGAAAAGGAUACAUAAAAUAGAUACAUUUCAUCCCUGAUCAUACUAGCUAUAUUUCUUAUCUGGUGAUGAUUUUAAGACAUAAACACAUAGUAUUUAAAAUAAUGAAUUACUAAGGAUAUGAAAAUAUUUAUUUUAUGUGACUAAAAAUAGGUUACAAAAAGGACAUUAUUUUAUUAAAUAAUGUCUGCUUUUAGUAAAUACACAUGUAAUAAAAAUGUAUAGAGCUAAAUAUAUAAAAAGUAACACAAAGGUCAGCAGAUCAUGGGAUAGAGAGAUAUUUAUUCCUUUAUUUAUUUAUUUUUUACUUCUGAGUAUUUCUUGAAUUUAUUUCUUGACUAUGUAUUUAUUACUGAUUGGAAAAUUGUUAGUAUUAUUUUAAUAAAGGCUAGAUCCUAAAUCUGUUCAGAGUUGAUUUAAUAAAUGUCACAAUAAUUCUUUCCCAAGUUUGGGCAGCCCUGGUGGCUCAGUGGUUUAGCUCCACCUUCAGCACAGGG